rnacentral:tRNA from 1 species
ACUUAAAUAGCUUAUAUUUAGAGUAUGAUAUUGAAGAUAUCAGGGAAGUUUUUAACUUUUAAGUA